ensembl:lncRNA
GAAAAAGUUCUAAAACCUUUUGAGCUUGGAGCCUUUUUUCAGGCGUUUACACAAAAAAAAUGUUUAAAAAACUGGGGAACUUGAAACACAAAAAUGCUGACUCAUUUCAGGGUUUUAAGAAUCACUCCUUUUGCACUACAGAAAGAAGUUUAACGGUACAGCAAGAGCUAUACAUUUAUAUGUUUCAUCUGUUUGACUCGUCUCUUUAUAUGUUUCAUCUGUUUGACACGUCUUCAUUUUGUGAAAGUCAUUGUUUGACGGCCUGUCAGUAUUGGCUGGUGUUCUGUGCACAUUGUCCAACCGGUGAUCAGCGAUCCGUUUGCUCUCACAGCACAUUUAGCAACAACUGCUUGUCUUAGCUAGUUUGCAUUCCAAGAGCACAGUAGAUGAAAACCACUGCACCAGAAUGCUUAAUUGUCCCAGUAAUGGUUGCAGGUAUGAUUUUACUGGGCUUAUUCUAAUCACACCUCCAUGAAUACUCACUGUUACGCUUACAUUUGGUUUAUACACUUUAAUUUAUUAUUGUAUUGUUAUUUAUUUCUUACUUAACCUUGGGUUUAUUGUUGGUGAUUUUAAUUCAGCAGUGGCCGUGCUGAAUAAUAAAGAUUAAUGCUUGGAGAUUAUGCUCCUUCCACGGUGAGUGAGAAACAUGAGAGAAUAUUGAAAUGCAGGCAGGCCAAGCAGAGGCGAUAAUUGAUCUGAUUAUCUUAUGUUAACAAGUUGACAAGCAACAAACAAUUCCUUCUUACAUGAUGGAUGGAUGUGAGAAAAUUGCAGAUACGAUGUUUUCUUUUUUACAGUGAUUGCGAUUGCAAUGGUAGUUUGAAUAAACUGCCGAUUCACUCAUUUCACAGUUUCACUUCUGACCACUGUGGCCUGUCGAGCAUACAGCAAUUUGCUUUACAGGUACAUUAAAGAGCAUAUCUAUUCACACGCCAUUGUUUAAUACUGUCACAGCAAGCUGCUUAUGAUACAGACAGCACAUGCAUGUGUUUUGUCAAGGUGAAGCUGUAUAAAACAAACAACCCAUUUCCUUAACCAGGCGACUGUUUCGUAAUUGCCAUCCUAUAAUGCAUUAGACAAUUAGUGCAUCGAAGUCGACCAUGUCUGGAGCAAUUGCCUGGAUCAACCUGUCUGCUGUAAUGAGGCGGGCUGAAAACUGCCUGCACCACUGGUUACCCGCAGCUCAGCUGUCCCUUGUGAUAUCCAUCUCCUGGGUCCGGUCUGGCUUGUCAAUCUGGGCUGGAGGGAGACACUGCCUCCACUGAUCACAUCUGCCGAAGGAUUUUCUUUUUUUUCUCAACAGCAUGAGCGGUCAUGCUCUGCAAUCAUGCAGACAACCGGCCGCGGCUUCACUCCAGCCAGGUCCCCAGCAUGAGGAUGACCCAUCAGUCUGCCGUGUGCUCUGUGAGCCAAUCUGCUGGGAUGAUAAAUGAUAACCAGGAGCUUGGUGCUGCUGGCCCUGUCAGAGGAGAUUUCGGAUGCGCUGCAGCUCAUGAGAGCAUCAUUAUCUCCUGAUAGUGCAUCCCAUCAUGUGAGGCCCCCGCUUGCUGAGCUCCGACUGUGCCAAAUGAGCUCGCGGAGCAGAAGGCUGGCCAGCACUGCGAGUGACAGAUGUCUCAUAUGUUUGGCACGGAUUAGCUAAAAGCUCAUUUCGGAAACUUCUCUGUUACUGGAGCUCAGACUCCUCAGACAAUUCAACGUCCAGGCAUCGGAAAUGGAGCUUGUCCAACUCAUGCGUCUCACAUUUCAAGGUCAGACAGGGAAAAUGUAUACGGUCAAUAAUUUGCAAUAGUGUGUGAUAUUUCUGAAAAAAUUUGGGUUGGUUAUUCAAAAGUGGCGCGGAAAUAAAAGCCGCCUGUCAACAUCGACCCACAACUUACAACCAGUCAUGUAAGUAAACACUGAUGAAUGCCAGAUUAUUAAUCGCAUCACUCUGAGGCUUGUUGGUGGGAUAUAACAGCAAACAUGUUUGCAUUUGACCAAUUUAUAUUUUUACAGCAAAGUCAAACGUGGACUGAUAAAUCCCUUUCCACUAAUACAGAGUAAAAGGCUCCAUCCACCUCACAUAAUGUUUCAUCUAGCAUCGCCCACAGUGAUGGCCAGUCAAAUUGGAUUAAACUGAGGUGGCUUGGGGGUUCUCUGCAGCUGCUGCUGUUUGAUAUGGGGUUUAGGUGUGCUGCAAGUGGUUACUUGGCUAGACUUGAAAGACUUGCAGAGACACAUUAAUAUUUUAUAGAAAACUACAGACUAUGAUGCCAAUGACUCAUGGGCCAUAUAUAAAAGGAGGACGUAAUAAUAUAUGACAAUGUAGGCCUUCGCCGUCAGUAUUACAAUGCGUG